UGCGGAGUCGUCUAACGGUAGGACGACGGACUUUGGCUCCGUCUAUCUUGGUUCGAAUCCAGGCUCCGCAG
rnacentral:tRNA from 1 species